ACACACGGAUAACAUACCGAAAGGUAUGCUAAUACGGGAUAAUAUAUUUGAGAGGCAUCUCUUAAAUAUCAAAGGUGAGCCAGUACAGGAUGGACCCGCGUCUGAUUAGCUAGUUGGUAAGGUAACGGCUUACCAAGGCAACGAUCAGUAGCCGACCUGAGAGGGUGAUCGGCCACAUUGGAACUGAGACACGGUCCAGACUCCUACGGGAGGCAGCAGUGGGGAAUAUUGCACAAUGGGCGAAAGCCUGAUGCAGCAACGCCGCGUGAGUGAUGAAGGCCUUCGGGUCGUAAAACUCUGUCCUCAAGGAAGAUAAUGACGGUACUUGAGGAGGAAGCCCCGGCUAACUACCUGCCAGCAGCCGCGGUAAUACGUAGGGGGCUAGCGUUAUCCGGAUUUACUGGGCGUAAAGGGUGCGUAGGCGGUCUUUCAAGUCAGGAGUGAAAGGCUACGGCUCAACCGUAGUAAGCUCUUGAAACUGGGAGACUUGAGUGCAGGAGAGGAGAGUGGAAUUCCUAGUGUAGCGGUGAAAUGCGUAGAUAUUAGGAGGAACACCAGUUGCGAAGGCGGCUCUCUGGACUGUAACUGACGCUGAGGCACGAAAGCGUGGGGAGCAAACAGGAUUAGAUACCCUGGUAGUCCACGCUGUAAACGAUGAGUACUAGGUGUCGGGGGUUACCCCCUUCGGUGCCGCAGCUA
rnacentral:rRNA from 1 species